rnacentral:snRNA from 1 species
AAUGCUUUUUGGCCUUUUGCUUAGAAGUAUAUACUCUUAUCAGUUUAGAAUCUGAUACAUAUUCUGAGGACAAUGAAUUAAAUGUAUUUCUGGAAUUAUGAGAUGGAAAGGGAGCUUGCUGCAUCCACUCCACUCAUCAAUCUGGUAUUGCAGUACUUUCAAGAAUUAUACAUCCACU